GUCGGGAAUUUUGCACAAUGGGGGAAACCCUGAUGCAGCAACGCCGCGUGAGUGAAGAAGGCCCUUGGGUUGUAAAGCUCUUUCGGCUGGGAAGAAGGGUCCUAAGGUGAAUAAUCUUAGGGUUUGACGGUACCAGAAGAAGAAGCACCUGCUAACUACGUGCCAGCAGCAGCGGUAAUACGUAGGGUGCAAGCGUUGUUCGGAAUUAUUGGGCGUAAAGCGUACGUAGGCGGGUCAGUAAGUCGGAUGUGAAAGCCCUGAGCUUAACUCGGGAAUUGCAUUCGAAACUGCCGAUCUUGAAUGCUUGAGAGGAUGGUGGAAUUCCAGGUGUAGAAGUGAAAUUCGUAGAUAUCUGGAGGAACAUCCGAGGCGAAGGCGGCCAUCUGGCAAGACAUUGACGCUGAGGUACGAAAGCGUGGGGAUCAAACAGGAUUAGAAACCCGGGUAGUCC
rnacentral:rRNA from 1 species